rnacentral:rRNA from 1 species
UGUUGAAUUGUGGGCGCUCAAGUGGUCGGUCCAGUCCCCCUCUGCUUCGUGCAAGGUGGUGCUCCCGCUCUUGUCGCUCGUGAACGACAGACACAAAUACCACGGGAUUCUUCUUCCCUUCACAUCUCUACGCGUUCAAUGCACGCCGUGUGAGGGGAUGCCCGUGUUUUUUACUGUGCUAAAAAAGCGCGACCAAAGCAGUCAAGCGACAUGAAUUUCAAAGCAUGGGAUAACAACGAGCAACCUACGGAUUCCCGUCUCGGCUUUUGUUGGUUUUAAAUAUCUGUGGGAGAUUUGGUCUGGCAUGACAAGCGGUUCGCGGGCCUCCGGGUUUCGCUACGCCUUCCGCCCCUUGCGCUUUCGGGUGCUGGGAUACGGUUUGCUUGGACUAGGAAUGAAGGAGGGUUGUUCGGGGGGAACGUACUUGAGCGUGAGAGGUGAAAUUCUUAGACCGCUCAAAGACGAACUACAGCGAGGCAUUCUCCAAGGAUACCUUCCUCAAUCAAGAACCAAAGUGCGGAGAUCGAAGAUGUUAGAUACCAUUGUAGUCC